GCCGUCUUAGCUUAGCUGGUAGAGCGUGUGGCUUUUAAUUACGUGGUCGUGGCUUCGAUUCCCAUAAACGGCG
rnacentral:tRNA from 1 species